ACCUCGGUGGCUCCGAGGCAAGAGCGCCGGCCUACGAAUCCCCGUGUUGCGGGUUCGAAUCCCGGCCGAGGUA
rnacentral:tRNA from 1 species